GGAGAAAGUUCCUUCGGGAGCAAGUAAACUGGCGAACGGGUGAGUAACGCGUAGGCAACCUACCCUUUAGACUAGGAUAACAUCGUGAAAAUGGUGCUAAUACUAGAUAAUAUCAUAUAUCAUCAGAUAUUAUGAUUAAAGGUGGCUUCGGCUAUUACUAUUGGAUGGGCCUGCGUCUGAUUAGCUUGUUGGUAAGGUAAUGGCUUACCAAGGCUACGAUCAAUAGCUGAUCUGAGAGGAUGAUCAGCCACAUUGGGACUGAGACACGGCCCAGACUCCUACGGGAGGCAGCAGUGGGGAAUCUUGGACAAUGGGGGAAACCCUGAUCCAGCAAUUCCGCGUGAAUGAUGAAGGCCUUAGGGUUGUAAAAUUCUUUUAGUAAGGAAGAUGAUGACGGUACUUACAGAAAAAGCUCCGGCUAACUCCGUGCCAGCAGCCGCGGUAAUACGGAGGGGGCAAGCGUUGUUCGGAAUUACUGGGCGUAAAGAGCGAGCAGGUGGUUCAUUAAGUCAAUCGUGAAAUCUCAAGGCUUAACCUUGAAAUUGCUUUUGAAACUGAUGAGCUAGAGUUUGGGAGAGGAUAGUGGAAUUCUAAGUGUAGAAGUGAAAUUCGUAGAUAUUUAGAGGAACACCGAUAGCGAAGGCAACUAUCUGGCCCUUUACUGACACUCAGAAGCGAAAGCUUGGGUAGCAAACAGGAUUAGAUACCCUGGUAGUCCAUGCUGUAAACGAUGAGUGCUAGAUGUUAGAAGUUUACUUUUAGUAUCGAAGCUAACGCGUUAAGCACUCCGCCUGGGGAGUACGACCGCAAGGUUAAAACUCAAAGGAAUUGACGGGGGCCCGCACAAGCGGUGGAGCAUGUGGUUUAAUUCGAUGCAACGCGAAAAACCUUACCUACCCUUGAAUCCCUGGAAGUUAACAGAGAUGUUGAUGUGCCUUCUGGAAUCAGGUGACAGGUGCUGCAUGGCUG
rnacentral:rRNA from 1 species